AAGCUACUGCCUCCGUCCGGAAAUACUUGUCAUCAAAAUGAAUAAAAGGGGAUGUAUCUAGAUGUAUAUUAGUUCUAGAUACAUCCUUUUUUAUCCAUUUUGAUGACAAGUAUUUUCGGACGGAGGGAGUACAUG
rfam:Triticum aestivum genome assembly, contig: Triticum_aestivum_CS42_TGACv1_scaffold_577889_7BL